rnacentral:lncRNA from 1 species
ACUUGCCUAAGUCUUUGGUUAUUCAGGCAGCGUUUUGUUAGGGAAUAGGGAUAGGAAUAGGAAUAGGCCCUUAUCCCUCCUUUAUAUCCAAACGUUAAUUUUUUAUUCGAAAAUAGUAGUUCUCGGUUAUCCCCACCAACACCUUCAUUUUCUAUAUAAAACUACCUAAAAUUGUUCUUAUCCCCGGAAAUAAUCCAAUUUUCAUCCAAACACUAUUUUUCUUAUCCCCAUACUUAUACCUAUCCCUGUAAUAGCUAGUUCUUGUUUAUACCCGAACCAAACGGUACCUUAGAGAUUUAGAUCGAAGUCUCAGAUCACCAGAAUUCCUUCUUUCCGACUCAAAGACCAAU